GAGGUGGCCACCCCCACAGAGAAGCCAGCAGAACAGCCCACCUCAGCACCUGACAAAAGUCUCGACACCACAGCAGAACAGUCCACACCAGACCCUGACCAUAGAGUCGACAUCACAGCAGAACAGACAAACGAAGAACCACAAGCCCAGCGGCUCUCACCCCCUCUGAACACCCCCCCUGUCAGCCACCCUGAUAGCCCUUCUGACAACCCCCUCACACCCACUGAGUACAAACACAAGACACAGAUUAUACUACUUAUGGACUCAAAUGGGAAAUAUAUAGAAAAAAAAAACAUUUUCACAAACACAGUGUGUCUAAACUCUGGUGUCCAAACACCCAGCGUGCCCUUGACCUUCUGUCUGAGGACCAACUAGGUUCACCCAGCCACAUAAUAAUACACACAGGCACAAACGACCUGAGAGCACAGCAGGAAAGGGUGGCCACAGCACUGAAGGGAGUGAUUGAAAAGGCUUCUUCUACUUUCCCCAACGCACAAGUGGUUAUCUCCACCCUGCUACCACGAAAAGACUUCCACCCUGCCACAAUACAUCGGGUAAACGCAAGUAUUUCCCGUGACUGUGCCUCAAAACCAAAUGUUUUCCUGACCCACCACUCCACCCUGGACUUGAACAGCCUCUAUGACCAGGUCCACCUCUACAAGGUAGCAGUGCCCACCUUUGCCCGGACUCUAAAGGACAUCGCUCUCAAACGUAUCCCCAACACUUCACACAGGAGCAACAGAUCAAUAGACACCCCACCCAGACCAGCGAGACACCCUCCCAGACCUGCAGGACCCCUCCCUGGACCUACACAUAGAGGACCCACGCCAAGAGGAAUUACAUCCAGACCACAGUACACCCAGACACAUCCACACCCCCACCCCAACCAAUCAACACCCCCCCCACGUCAACCAUGCCCACACCCCAUUUAGGCCCCCUCAGAUCAGACCUAUGCCACUCCUGCCCACCCCAUGCACCCCACCCCCGCAAAGAGGGCCUCAACAUGGAAGCCACAC
rnacentral:lncRNA from 1 species